rnacentral:rRNA from 1 species
CCUAGGGGAGGCAGCAGUGGGGAAUAUUGGACAAUGGGGGCAACCCUGAUCCAGCCAUGCCGCGUGUGUGAAGAAGGCCCUCGGGUUGUAAAGCACUUUCAGUGAGGAAGAACGCCUGGUGGUUAAUACCCAUCAGGAAAGACAUCACUCACAGAAGAAGCACCGGCUAACUCCGUGCCAGCAGCCGCGGUAAUACGGAGGGUGCGAGCGUUAAUCGGAAUUACUGGGCGUAAAGCGCGCGUAGGUGGCUUGAUAAGCCGGUUGUGAAAGCCCCGGGCUCAACCUGGGAACGGCAUCCGGAACUGUCAAGCUAGAGUGCAGGAGAGGAAGGUAGAAUUCCCGGUGUAGCGGUGAAAUGCGUAGAGAUCGGGAGGAAUACCAGUGGCGAAGGCGGCCUUCUGGACUGACACUGACACUGAGGUGCGAAAGCGUGGGUAGCAAACAGGAUUAGAUACCCUAGUAGUC